ACGGAGGGUGCAAGCGUUAUUCGGAAUUACUGGGCGUAAAGGGCGCGCAGGCGGUUGGAUAAGUCAGAUGUGAAAUUCCGGGGCUCAACCCCGGAGCUGCAUUUGAAACUGUCCGACUAGAGUAUAGUUAGGGAAAAUGGAAUUCCACGUGUAGCGGUGAAAUGCGUAGAUAUGUGGAAGAACACCGGUGGUGAAGACGAUUUUCUGGGCUAUAACUGACGCUGAGGCGCGAAAGCUAGGGGAGCAAACA
rnacentral:rRNA from 1 species